rnacentral:rRNA from 1 species
UACGUAGGGUGCAAGCGUUAAUCGGAAUUACUGGGCGUAAAGCGUGCGCAGGCGGUUUUGUAAGACUGUCGUGAAAUCCCCGGGCUCAACCUGGGAAUGGCGAUGGUGACUGCAAGGCUAGAGUUUGGCAGAGGGGGGUAGAAUUCCACGUGUAGCAGUGAAAUGCGUAGAUAUGUGGAGGAACACCGAUGGCGAAGGCAGCCCCCUGGGUCAAAACUGACGCUCAUGCACGAAAGCGUGGGGAGCAAACGGG